ACUCCUAGCUUUGGCGCGCACUCGGCACGCAUGCGCACGCCCUCUGGGCGCGCCGGCUUCCCCGCGUGCUCCAGUGGCCCUCCAACGUCUCCCAGCAUCCGUUGCGGGCGUCCAACCCAGGUGAUGCGCAGGCGCGAGGAGAGCGCAUGCCCACGGAAUCGCGGCCAUGGCGGCGCCCGAGAGUCCGUUACUUAGAAGAACCAGAAUCCAGAAUAAGUGUAUAGAGGAGCCCUCUUGUCUCCCAAGAAGCUGAAGAUCUGGGAUCCUACUCCACACAUCAGUGAAUGAGGUUCAAGGAUUAACCAGAAAGAAGCAGAGGAGGCACAGCCUUUUCUUCCUGUUUCCUGUAGACCCCAGAGCCAACAUCAAGAUAUCACCAGUUUCCAUCACCUGCUUUGUCCAGACCCUCACUGUACGGUGUGUAACAGAGUGGCUACAAAAGAGACUUCAUUCACUGUGACAUCUGCCCAUUCAAAAACUCAUCCAAGAGGCCAAAAGUCAGCCUCUUUGCAUGUGCCAUCUCCACCUCCCCCUUCUACUGUCUCACUUAACCAUGUUGCUUCUUUACCUGAUUUACUGUCCCCCGACCCACCAGCUGACUCAGUACCAUCAGAGCCUAUUCCUCCCUUGGCUUCAAAACUCCCAGUGGACCCUUUCCCACCCCAACCUGUUGCUCUUUGCCCUCCCACACCA
rnacentral:lncRNA from 1 species